rnacentral:rRNA from 1 species
UACGUAGGGUGCGAGCGUUAAUCGGAAUUACUGGGCGUAAAGCGUGCGCAGGCGGUUCGUUGUGUCUGAUGUGAAAGCCCCGGGCUCAACCUGGGAAUGGCAUUGGAAACUGGCGAGCUAGAGUGUGGCAGAGGGGGGUGGAAUUCCUGGUGUAGCGGUGAAAUGCGCAGAUAUCAGGAGGAACACCGAUGGCGAAGGCAGGUCUCUGGGCAUUAACUGACGCUGAGGAGCGAAAGCAUGGGGAGCGAACAGG